rnacentral:rRNA from 1 species
CCCUUAGAUGUUCUGGGCCGCACACGCGCUACACUGAAGGAGGCAGCGUGUACUCCUGGAUCGAAAGAUUUGGGUAACCCGCGAAUCUCCUUCGUGCUAGGGUUUGAGGUUUGCAAUUAUCCUUCAUGAACGAGGAAUUCCCAGUAAGUGCAAGUCAUAAGCUUGCGCUGACUACGUCCCUGCCCUUUGUACACACCGCCCGUCGCUACUACCGAUUGAAUGAUUUAGUGAGGACUUCGGACUGGGACCGAUGCGGCUUUCGGGCUGCGUCGGUAUUCUGGAAAGAUGUCCAAACUGUAUCAUUUAGAGGAAGUAAAAGUCGUAACA